rnacentral:rRNA from 1 species
UACAGAGGUCUCAAGCGUUGUUCGGAUUCAUUGGGCGUAAAGGGUGCGUAGGCGGCGCGGUAAGUCGGGUGUGAAAUCUUGGAGCUUAACUCCGAAACUGCAUUCGAUACUGCCGUGCUUGAGGACUGGAGAGGAGACUGGAAUUUACGGUGUAGCAGUGAAAUGCGUAGAUAUCGUAAGGAAGACCAGUGGCGAAGGCGGGUCUCUGGACAGUUCCUGACGCUGAGACACGAAAGCUAGGGGGAGCAAACAGG